UACGGAGGGUGCGAGCGUUGUCCGGAAUCACUGGGCGUAAAGGGAGCGUAGGCGGCUUUUUAAGUCGGAUGUGAAAUCCCCGGGCUCAACCUGGGAAUGGCAUUCGAUACUGGGGAGCUAGAGUUUGGGAGAGGGUGAUGGAAUUCCCGGUGUAGCGGUGAAAUGCGUAGAGAUCGGGAGGAACAUCAGUGGCGAAGGCGGUCACCUGGCCUAAAACUGACGCUGAAGCUCGAAAGCGUGGGGAGCAAACAGG
rnacentral:rRNA from 1 species